ACACGACUACAUUAGAUACCCGUGUAGUCCUAGCCGUAAACGAUACUCGCUAGGUGUCGGCCACGGUGCGACCGUUGUCGGUGCCGUAGGGAAGCCGUGAAGCGAGCCACCUGGGAAGUACGGCCGCAAGGCUGAAACUUAAAGGAAUUGGCGGGGGAGCACCGCAACGGGAGGAGCGUGCGGUUCAAUUGGAUUCAACGCCGGACAACUCACCAGGAGCGACGGUUACAUGAAGGCCAGGCUGAUGACCUUGCCUGAUUUUCCG
rnacentral:rRNA from 1 species